GUUCAAUAUCGGAGUGAAAACGAGAAAUCUUAAAUCAGAACAAUAAAACAUACACUUCUUAAGAAUAUGUAUAUUUCGUGUGUGUGUGUGUGUGUGUGUGUGUGUGUGUGUGUGUGUGUUUGUGAAAGGGAGGCGGCUGCCGUGUGGUUCUUCAGUCAAACCACACUGAUGGUGACGCAGCGCAGGAUUAAUGGCUGUUUCACUGAAGCAGAAAAGUAAUGAAAGCAUUGUGGUCACUUUUACAUGGUGUGGAAAGUGUAUGGAAAUACUGUACAUAUAUAACAAAUGACAUGUGCACAUAUUAGUUAUCAGCCAUAAACGCAGUAUUAAUUUUUAUAUUGAUAUUAGCAAUAAUUUUUAUAUUGAUCCAUCCCUGUUCAACAGGCUGUAAAAACAAUAUUGAGAUGAGCCUAAUGCAAGUAAUCACAGAAGGCUAACAUAACUUUCCCAGCUAAAGCUAAGUGUUUAAGGGACAGUAACACUGACAUAGCAAAUGGCUAACAACUUCGACACAAACAAAUGGGCUUAUGUAUAUUUCCAAUUUGUGAAAUAUUCACAAUAGUAGACCAAGCACACCUCUUCCAAUUAAUGGUCAUUCAACAGGAUCCAAGCUACAUCACAAAAUCAUUAUCAUUAGUAGUUGCAUAGUGCAUUUGUAUUAAGUCCACUAGGGAGACAAGAGAAUCCUAAUUUCACAAGCUGUUGGUCAGACAUCAGCAGCAGGUUCCAUGGACUGCACCAGGCAGAGGGUUCCCAGCAGACCAGAGCUCACCCACAUAUUGGAAAAACAGGAUUUGUAAUGCAUUUCUAGAGAGCUCAUGCCGCCCUACAGAAGAGCAGCCUUGGGCAGCUGCUGACAUCGCCCAUAUCAGAAACCAGGUUUCAUCCUCCUUCAAACAUUUUGUCAUCAUCGCUGUCCCAAAGAAACAUCCCACGAAGGGAGCGGACGUAGGGAUCCGAUCACAUGGUUUCAAAUGUGAUUAUUAUGCAAAACUGAUUUACUUAGUGUAGGUUCAAGCAAAGUACUUGCAAAUCAAGUAUCUUAGUUAGCAGGUAUGUUACAGAUAUAUGGUGCCACUUUCUCUACCACCUUCGCCACUCUGGUUCUCCUAAAUGAAAUGAACAAAAUCCCAUCAGGCCUUUAAAGUCUUUAAAGUUUAAUAUGUAAAGCUUUUGAUGGAUCAGAUAGACUGAAGAGGUGGUAACAGCAGCAAAUUUUUUUUUGAGAAGUCUGAUUUGAUUUGUGUAUAUUUUGCCCGUUGCCUGUGACUCUAUAACAGAAUACAAAAUAAAUUAAAAACUGUUUCAGGUCCAGUUUGUCUCCAGACAGUCUUCCCAUGUUGUCCAUUGAAGGCUCAUCGCUGGGCUCUUGACCGCUGCUGUCAUGAAGUGGAGUUGGUGAUGAGGAAGAGUUGAGGUGGAGGAAAAAUUAUUUAAUGUGGUCAGAAAUCCAGAAAACACUCAGGAACAGCCGGCGCAACAUGGAGCGACAACACAGGUGAGGUUAAAUACAGACUGGAGACAAUCAGGAAACUGGAACCAAUAGGGAACAGCAUGAGACAGUUGUGUAAAUUAACCAAAAUACAAACACCGAAACCCAAGAUCCUCACAGCUGCAUGUAGAAUUCACCAGCAGUAAAUAUUGUGCUAGUACCGAUAUUGGACUAAAGGAAGCAAGACAGUUGCAACCCUGUAAAGUUUAAUAUUUAAAGCUUUUGAUGAAUCAGAUAGACUCAAAAGAUCGUGAUGACAGUAGGUGAGAAGGCGAGGGGGGGGGAUUCAUUUUUUGUCAUGGGACCCAAACUUCCUGGUGGUCCCCCUGACAACAGCCAACAGUUUAGGGAAGUCUAAACAGUUCAUCUUUCUUCUCUGCUGUUUAUCUGCACAGUCAAAAGUAACAAACCGACACAAAAUGCUUUUUCACCUUCCACAACUCACACAAGCCAUUUAACAUGUCUUUGCUAUUCCUCUAACACCCUGCAAAGUAUUCCUGUGCCUUCUUGUUUUUCACACCUACAAGUAAGCAACAAAACUAUAUCAAUUCAUCUGGCAAAUCAAAUAUUCAAACACUAAUUCCUCACUUCCAGAGCCCCCUCUGAGCCAUUCUGUGACAAAAUAAAGACUCAUUUUCUUACAACCGACAUACAAAAUAGUGGGAGCGGUACCUCUCUGCCAUGUAAAAACGUAUGUGUUCAGAAAAACAAUGAACUCCUAAGAAAGCAUCACAAAGACCAUAUAUUAAAUAAAAUCACCUUAAAUAUUUCAAAAAUUUUAAGAAAUGGUUAAAAAAAAAGGUGAGCAGGAGAAGAGUUCCUGUCAAUAUGACAUAGUAAUUGUUUUACAAAAUCAUAUUGAUAAAGUAAUAUAUCAAUCCAGCCCUGAAUGCUGGUGAUGCAUGUGUUCAGCAAGAAAUGCACUCAUAGAUAAAAGCUCCUAAUGGCUGCAAACAGCAUCAUGGAGAGGAACAGUGAUGAUGUUUGGAGCACCGGAAAGAGGAGAUUCUUAAAGAGACAGACGUCAAAUUCAAGGCAUCAAAUUGCAAAGUCAAAUUUCUUUUAGGCUAUAU